ensembl:ncRNA lncRNA:CR44831 long non-coding RNA:CR44831
CCCGCAAGCAGCGUGUUCGCUCACCAUCUACCUCUCUUUUCAAGAGAGCACGUUGCAAAGACGUUCAGACCCGCCACCUCCGCGCUCCACGGCACCCUUUUUUUAGGACAGAGCAUCAAGUUGGUGGCAGUUCCCCAGCGAACACUGAGCACAACAGAUUACCGAAUUAGUGCGCAGGUGUUUGCGUGAGUGAUAGACGAAAAACUGUAACCUGUGGCAAAUCCCCCCACUAAAAACUGAUAAAACAACUGAAAAGGCUGUUGGGUUCACCUCUGAAAUCUAAAUCCCACCCAUAACCAAGCUCGAAAAUAGCCAAGAUAAACAAGUUGGAGCUGCAGCAAAUGAAAAGAAAAACAGACGUAUAAUAAUAAAACAAAAAAGCAACGAAAAACGAAGCCAAAAACUCACAUGCAACCGUCUUAAUGAAGUUGAGAAAAACUGGUUUGCUGAGAUAAACAUUUUGGAGUUUGUUUUGGUCCCGCUUUCAACGGUCAUAAGGGGAAGGGGGCUGAGCCAGGGUCCAAAGUUCAACACAAAACAGCACCAAGAAAGUACGACGACUCGUUUGCGCGAAACGCACACAUUUUGCAUGCUCCCGCACAGGCUAGUUCGAACUUUUAGCAUAUCCAACAUCUGUACGCAAAAUAUCAUAAAAUCUUCUCUUGGCAUUACACAGAAAUUACUUAUUGAUCGUUGGGCUUCUUUAUAAGUCUCAAGAGAAAGUUGAGACAAACGAAGUCAGUAUCUUUUAUUAUUUACAUAAGUAGAUCUUAUCAUUUAGUUUUUAAAAUAACCUUUAAAGCCCCACGUAGUUCUUUACGCUUUAUUUAAAAAAAAAAAUGAUCCGAAACGUUAACAUUUCGAAGAUCUCUAUCAUAGAAACAUGAUUUAUAUUUAAGACUGGUUAUACCAAACUUAACAGAUAAUACAUUAGUGAUCCAUUAUAGCACGUUUACUAAUUUAAUUAGCCAUUAUACUUUCAAUAUUCACAAUUAAUAAGCCUGUGGUGCUAUAAUUGUGAGCUCAACUGUAGAUGUGGGCGGGGGGCAGAGCAAGAGCGAGAUAUAGUGUGUGUGGUGCAUUAAAAAUGCUGUUUGAAAUGUUAUGCGAAUAAAAAAAGCACAUUACAUGCGAGUGUACAUAAGAUAAGUUCGAAAUGCAAUCAACUAUUGAAUAACAAGUAUCCCACAUCUAUAUAAUACCAAACUAUAUGCUAUACUGUAUAAAACUGGAUAUCAGGCCCACUGUAACUCUCUCCUUUUCAUUUAAUUUCUCUCAAUGCAAAUGCAACUGUAACGCGAUCGAUGUAAGAGAAAGAGAGCACUCAUUUGCAUAGAGCUCGCUUUGCAAGAG